rnacentral:lncRNA from 1 species
AUGAGAAAGGUGAGGUCUGGAAAUAAAAUACGGCGACGCUCUGCAGCUGAAAAUCAGGCUUGCUCUCCAUUCCUGGUGAUGCCUCUUUUCCGAUCCACAGCGACAGAUCUCCGCCUUCAUUCACAGGCACCCACACCUUUCCAUACACCAAUAAGCCAUCACCAAAAAUCUUUUUGGGAAAUCAGACCACUGAGGGUCAGCACUGAGCUCUGGCCUAGUUCCGAUCUGCAGGGUUCAGAGUAAUAAGACAGAGAACAGCAGCUUCGCAGCAUUAAACUUAGGCGAAAGGGGAGUGGACAGCAGGAACAGUGAAAUCGCACGGAAAAACAAGAGUCACCUGAGCAUUAACCCAGUGAGAAAAUGGAGCUACUUCUGAUUUCCUAGAAUCCAUCCCUCCCAGGUUAUUAUUUCUGAUUACCAAGACAGCACACAGCAUUUUCGAUCCAGCACUUUAGAAGAAUGCUUGGUCACACCAUGCUCUGCCUUAUUAAAUGAUCUAUGUUGAAACCAUUCAUUUCCAUUUCUCUUACAUCUGUAAAAUGUCAAAUAAGAGUGAUAAGACAGCCAUUUACCCUCAAUUUUCUCAAUAAUGUAAGGUUUUAGAGAGAAAGUGUUAGAACUCUAAAAUAAUAGGCUAAUAUAUUUUCUCAAUUUUCCCUUCUCUCGUAUUGCCACUAGGGGAAAAUCUAUUUCUGAUAGGAUCUCCUUUAAAGUUUAGGAGGCUGAAAAGCAUUGCUCUUUAACGGAAAAAAAAGUUCUCAAACAUAGUUAUUUUCCGAGUAAAUAUCUUUCAAAAGAAAAGUUCUGCAAAGACUAUAAAAACCUCCCCUGGAGGGUUUAUAAAGGGUGACAUAAAAGUAGGUGUGGGCGGAAAAAGAAAUAAUGUUUUAGGAACCGCUUUUAAAAAGAUCAAAUAUGAAUGGUUUCUACCCUAUCUACCUCUUUUUCACCCUCCUUUCACACAUGAAAACACACAGACAGCACACUAGAUUUCAGCAAGUGUUAAGAAAGAAUUACAAAGAAGCAAAAAAGAAAAAUCAAUCAAUCCUUUUUUUACAAAGAGAGAAAAUAGGCCAUAGACUUCGACAGGCUAUAGGAAUCUUUCUCCCCUUACGCAGUGGGUCAAAAACAACGAUGCUUCCAGACCUCUAGUAAGCGUAAUUCACGUUUCCUUUCCUGAACAUAUCCUGAUCAAGCCCUUAAACAAAAUGAAGAUGCUACAAGGCAAAUCAUAUUCUAAUUC